CCGUCGCAAAACUUAAUUCUAUUUCCCUCACUAACAUCUCGAUCUGCAGCCCUAAAUAACCUCUCUCGCCCAACUCUCUAUCUCUUUCACGCCCAAACUCUCUCUCUGUCUCUCUUCUCGCCCAAGCUCGCCCAUGCCAAGUGCUCUCUCCCUCUCUAUCUCUCUUGCCCAAGCUCCGCAGCGCCUUGAACAAGACAUAGUCGAGGUCCGAAAGGAUCGUCAGAGAGAAAAAGAGAUGGUAAUUUGAAUGACAUGGUUACUGAGCAAUGGAUUCAAUUACAGAGACUUCAGCAGGCUCUUCUCCUUCUUCUUUAUUCCAGUAACCUUAUGCUUCCUAGAGCUGGUAUAUCCUUAGAUUUCUUUCAUAUGUGGCUUUGAGGAACUAAAGGUUUCCAUUCUUCAUUGUACCAUAUUGACAAGAUAAGCAAAAGGAGGAGAACAAAUUGGAGCAAGCUGCCGAGCCCCUUGAUACUACAAAAACCACCUGAUAAACUUGAGGACUCUUAUGAGUAUCUAUUUAAAGAGCUGAGCAAGUACAGAUGGAUCAUUCUCAGGCUAUAAUUAAAGAGUUGGUGUAUGUAAAGCAAUUGGAUAGGCAAGAAAUGGAUGACUUGAUGAAGCAAGAUGAGCUAGAAGUUGAAAGAAAGUUGAGAAAGCUUUGGCUGAUCUUUGUUUUUUAACGACCUUUGGUUGGUCUUAGAAUUGUGAUUGUUGGUUGGUUAUAGAUGAUGGGUUUCAUAAUAUUUUUCAAUUUAUGAUAUUUGCUGCA